rnacentral:ncRNA from 2 species
CGAUGUUCUCAGGGCGGGGUGAAAGUCCCCACCGGCGGUAAGGGCCGAAAGGCCUAAGCCCGCGAGCGCCUUCCCCAAGGAUUUUUCUGAAGGGAAGGGUCAGCAGAUUCGGUGCAACUCCGAAGCCGACGGUCAAAGUCCGGAUGAAAGAGAACGGUC